rnacentral:pre_miRNA from 1 species
AGUGGUAUAACUGGGUCAAAUGGUGGUUCCAUUCCUCAUUUCUUGAGCAAUUUUCAUACUGCUUUCCAAAUUGGUUGUACCAAUUUGCAGUCCUACCAGCACU